rnacentral:lncRNA from 1 species
AGUAGGGACAGUCUGCAUUAGUAAAGGUAACACAAAUAUAAAGUCAAAACAACAGAUGGAAAUGGAACUGACUCCCUGCAAGUCUGCAAAGUGUGCAAUUGCAAACCUUCACAGAUAUGUCAGCAUUGAAGCAUUCUGGCUUGAUUGCUUUCCUCAGAGCAAGGCCAACAGUCAGAAAUCUCACAUACAAAUGUCACACACCACGUCACACACACACAUACACACAUAUCCCCUCUCCUUUUCUGCAACCUUAGAGUUAGGAAAUCACAAAGUCUUGCUAACAUAGUUCGUAUGGGAGCACUAGAGGAAGCCUCCGCCUGGCAUUGUUGUGCUGCCCGAAGAACAAUUUAGCUGUGAAGCGCAGAACAGAACAGAGCAGAGCAGAACAGAGCAGAGAGCACCACCCCUUCAGCUCACUGGUGAGCAGUUCAACCACAAGUUCGUCAUUCUGGCAAAGCAGUCCCAACUCUCAAAGAACGAUGUAUGAAACUAUUUCAACCAAUUAAAAAAUACUAAAAGUGUUGGACACAUAUUUUGAAUUUUGGGUGGACUGACUUUUUUUUUUAUCCUCCCAUGCAUGCAUAUUUGCUUAUUAAACUAUUUAACAAUGAUAACUGUGUUUUAAGCUUUGAAGUUAUUUCCUUUAAUAGAAAGAGAAUAGAAAAAAAGAGAGACUGAUGUGGUAAUCAACAUUGUGUUCUGGAUAGGACAUGUACCAGGGGGAGAUCUGUAAAAUAGACCAUCACUAGAGAUGAUAUGUGAUUACUGCAAUCCAAUUUAAUUUCUUUCUUGACUACCACUUUUUUGUCAAAAUGAAGAAAAACAAAUAUUCACAGACAUUGGCGUUAUUGGAGAGACUUUGAUAGAUUAAACACUGCUUCUGGAGAUGUACAAAAGUCAUUCACUAUGAUAGGUUAGAUGAAAAAAAGGAUUGUGUGUUUGGGAUUUCAUAAGUGGCUUCCGCAUACACACUCACCAGACCAGCCAUUUUCACACGAGUGACUUUGCUGAUUUCGGAGGAAAAAAGACCCACUCUUGGAUCCACCUGCAUCAAGAACACAGAGUAAACGGUGAGGAACGCCAGCGUUUGUUUUCCUCUUUCCCUCUAUUUCGCUCCCUCUCUCUCCCUCCUUUUCUGUCGUUCUUAUUCUCCUCCUCGUCUCCUGGCCUGCUUGCCAUGGCCUGCUUCCAGAUGGGGCCUGCAGCGUUGCUAUCAGGCAUAUCUGAGGACAGCCGUUUCCAUGGGGGAUUGCCCGCUGGCUCUCCUGCUCUCGGCUAAUCGCUAAUCGCGUCCACACAAACAAAGAAAAGUGCUCCAGUGUGCAGGAAAAGAGGAGUGAGUGUGUGUGUGUGUGUGUGUUUGUGUGUGUGUGUGCGUCGUGAAGGGCAAGAGGGGGACAGGGUGUGUGAAUAAUCAAGAGAUGGACGCAGACCAGUGGGUUGUCUGUGUGUUUGUGUGUGUAUGUGUGUGUGUGUGUGUGUGAGGGAGAGUGAGAGGGAGGAGAGAGAGAGAGAGAGAGAGAUGAACAGAUAAAGAAGAAUAUCCUCAACAAAGCACACUAGUUAUAAUAUAACACAUUAUGUCGACAAAUCCUCUGUUGAGCACACAAAAAGGUUCUCAAUUUUUUUUUGAGACACAAGUGAACUAUUGGUUCUGUCAUGGCAAAAAGUGACCGGGUGCCAAAAAGAGCCAAUAUUGGCUUUCGAACGACUCUUGAGUGACAGUUGCUAUACCAACGCUGGCAUUACGUAGACCGGACACUACCGUAACCCGGGCACUUUUUGGUCAGUCUCAAGAGUCGUUCGAAAGCCAUUAGCUACUUGUUAGUCACUUAAUAUUGUGCCUAAAACUACUAAGUAUUCCGUUUUAGCUACACCUGCCGGUAUCCUGUACAUCAACAUUUGCAGUCAAUACUACUUUUUGAAUUGCUAUAUAUUGUGGCUAAACUCAUUUUUACCCGGUAAAUAAAGUGUUCCAUUUUAGCCGUUUACA